rnacentral:rRNA from 1 species
GAUGAACGCUAGCGGCAGGCUUAAUACAUGCAAGUCGUGGGGCAGCAGGUCUGUAGCAAUACAGAUGCUGGCGACCGGCAAACGGGUGCGGAACACGUACACAACCUUCCUUUAAGUGGGGAAUAGCCCAGAGAAAUUUGGAUUAAUACCCCGUAACAUAUAGAAGUGGCAUCACUUUUAUAUUAUAGCUCCGGCGCUUAAAGAUGGGUGUGCGGCUGAUUAGAUAGUUGGCGGGGUAAUGGCCCACCAAGUCGACGAUCAGUAACUGGUGUGAGGGCACGACCAGUCACACGGGCACUGAGACCCGGGCCCGACUCCUACGGGAGGCAGCAGUAAGGAAUAUUGGUCAAUGGACGCAAGUCUGAACCAGCCAUGCCGCGUGGAGGAUGAAGGUCCUCUGGAUUGUAAACUUCUUUUAUUUGGGAAGAAAUCUAUCUUUUCUUGGAUAGUUGACGGUACCAGAUGAAUAAGCACCGGCUAACUCCGUGCCAGCCGCCGCCGUAAUAC